rnacentral:ncRNA from 1 species
CACUAAGGAGUGUGUACCAACUCACUUGCCGAGUAAAAUAGCCCCGAAAAUGGAUGGGCACUUAAGUGCGCGACCUACACUUAGCCGUCGGGGUAAGUGCCAGACCCCGAUGAGUUGGAGGGAAUGGCGGUAGCUACAAAACCUUGGGCAUGAGCCUGUGCGGAGCAGCCGUUAAGUGUAGAUCUUUGUGGUAGUAGAAAAUAUUCAAAUGAGAACUUUGAAGGCCGAAAAAGGGAAAGGUUCAAUGUGAACGGCACCAGCACAUGGGUUAGUCAAUCCUAUGGGUCGGGGGAAUCCCGACAGAUAGCGCGUUUCGUGUGUACUCCGUAAGGGAAUGGGUUAAAAUUCCUGAACCAAAACGUGGAGGUAGACGACAACGUUAGGAAGUUGGCAAACGUUGGUGGGAGCUUCGGGAAGAGUUGUCUUUUCUGUUUAACAGCAUACCCACCAUGGAAUCGGCUUGCCGGAGGUACAUUCCAGCGGCUGGAGGAGCACCUCACGUCACUUGGUGUCUAGUGCCCUCCCGGUGAUCCUUGAAAACCCAGAGGACCUAAUGCCGUCGACACUCGGUCAUACU